UACAGAGGGUGCGAGCGUUAAUCGGAAUUACUGGGCGUAAAGGGCGCGUAGGCGGCCUGAUAAGUAGGGGGUGAAAUCCUGCGGCUUAACCGCAGGGCUGCCUUCUAAACUGUCAGGCUGGAGCACAGUAGAGGCAGGUGGAAUUCCUGGUGUAGCGGUGAAAUGCGCAGAUAUCAGGAGGAACACCAAUUGCGAAGGCAGCUCGCUGGGACGUUACUGACGCUGAGACGCGAAAGCGUGGGGAGCAAACAGG
rnacentral:rRNA from 1 species